GUUAAAUAAGAUUCUCCCUGUUUAACGUUUUGUUCCAACAAGAGUUAGGGUUAGGGUCUGUUCUCAAACUGCAUCAUUUUUAAUCUCUGUA